rnacentral:rRNA from 1 species
UACAGAGGGUGCGAGCGUUAAUCGGAAUUACUGGGCGUAAAGCGUGCGUAGACGGUUAUUUAAGUCGGGUGUGAAAGCCCCGGGCUCAACCUGGGAAUUGCAUUCGAGACUGAAUAGCUAGGGUACGGUAGAGGGAAGUGGAAUUUCCGGUGUAGCGGUGAAAUGCGUAGAUAUCGGAAGGAACAUCAGUGGCGAAAGCGACUUCCUGGACCGAUACUGACGCUGAGGCGCGAAAGCUAGGGGAGCAAACGGGG